rnacentral:rRNA from 1 species
AGCAGCCGCGGUAAUUCCAGCUCCAAUAGCGUAUAUUAAAGUUGCUGCAGUUAAAAAGCUCGUAGUUGAAUUUCGGGACCAAUAUGUCGGUCGUGCCUCGGUACGUACUGGCAUCGUUGGUUUCUCCUUUCUGAAGAACCAUGAUGUCAUUUAUUUGGUGUCGUGGGGAAUCAGGACUGUUACUUUGAAAAAUUAGAGUGUUUAAAGCAGGCUCACGCUUGAAUACAUUAGCAUGGAAUAAUGAAAUAGGACGUUUGAUUCUAUUUUGUUGGUUUCUAGGAUCGACGUAAUGAUUAAUAGGGAUAGUUGGGGGCAUUAGUAUUCAAUUGUCAGAGGUGAAAUUCUUGGAUUUAUUGAAGACUAACUACUGCGAAAGCAUUUGCCAAGGAUGUUUUCAUUAAUCAAGAACGAAAGUUAGGGGAUCGAAGACGAUCAGAUACCGUCGUAGUCUUAACCAUAAACUAUG